AGGAGUCUAACAUAUGUGCAAGUUAUUGGGAGAUAAAACUAAUAGCGUAAUUAACUUGACUAAUAAUGGUAUUAGUUUUUUAACUAUUUAUAGAUAAUUUACACAAUCCUGGGGCGUUCUAUAUAGUUAUGUAUAAUAAUAUUUAUAGUAUUUAUGCCUCUAACUGGAACGUACCCUGAGCAUAUAUGCUGUGACCCGAAAGAUGGUGAACUAUACUUGAUCAGGUUGAAGUCAGGGGAAACCCUGAUGGAACACCGAAACAGUUCUGACGUGCAAAUCGAUUGUCAGAAUUGAGUAUAGGGGCGAAAGACCAAUCGAACCAUCUAGUAGCUGGUUCCUUUCGAAGUUUCCCUCAGGAUGGCUGCUGCAUUUUAAUGUUAUAUAAAAUAAUCUUAUCUGGUAAAGCGAAUGAUUAGAGUCCGUAGAGUCGAAACGAUCUUAACCUAUUCUUUAAUGGGUAAGAACCUUAACUUUCUCGAUAUGAAGUUGAAGGUCCAGUGGGCCACUUUUGGUAAGCAGAACUGGCGCUGUGGGAUGAACCAAACGUAAUGUUACGGUGCCCAAAUUAACAACUCGUGCAAAAACCAUGAAAGGCGUUGGUUGCUUAAAACAGCAGGACGGUGAUCAUGGACGUCGAAAUCCGCUAAGGAGUGUGUGACAACUCACCUGCCGAAGCAACUAGCCCUUAAAAUGGAUGGCGCUUAAGUUGUAUACCUAUAAAUUACCGCUGAAGUAGAUGAUUUAUAUUACUCGUGAUAUAAAUUUUGAAACUUUAGUGAGUAGGAAGGUACAAUGGUAUUUAUUU
rnacentral:ncRNA from 1 species